rnacentral:rRNA from 1 species
CCUACGGGAGGCAGCAGUGAGGAAUAUUGGUCAAUGGACGCAAGUCUGAACCAGCCAUGCCGCGUGCAGGAAGACGGCUCUAUGAGUUGUAAACUGCUUUUGUACGAGGGUAAACGCAGAUACGCGUAUCUGUCUGAAAGUAUCGUACGAAUAAGGAUCGGCUAACUCCGUGCCAGCAGCCGCGGUAAUACGGAGGAUUCAAGCGUUAUCCGGAUUUAUUGGGUUUAAAGGGUGCGUAGGCGGACGGAUAAGUUAGAGGUGAAAACUCGAGGCUCAACUUCGGAAUUGCCUCUGAUACUGGUCGGCUAGAGAGGAGUUGCGGUAGGCGGAAUGUAUGGUGUAGCGGUGAAAUGCUUAGAGAUCAUACAGAACACCGAUUGCGAAGGCAGCUUACCAAGCUACAUCUGACGUUGAGGCACGAAAGCGUGGGGAGCAAACAGGAUUAGAUACCCUGGUAGUC